rnacentral:pre_miRNA from 1 species
AAAUUACUUCCUCCGUCCUAAAAUGCUGCUACCUAGUAUGGGAUUUGACCCAUCCUAGGACUAGUCCUAGGAUGGGUCAAAUCCCAUACUAGGUAGCAGCAUUUUGGGACGGAGGUAGUAGUGU